GAUGAACGCUGGCGGCGUGCCUAAUACAUGCAAGUCGAGCGAACAGACGAGGAGCUUGCUCCUCUGACGUUAGCGGCGGACGGGUGAGUAACACGUGGAUAACCUACCUAUAAGACUGGGAUAACUUCGGGAAACCGGAGCUAAUACCGGAUAAUAUAUUGAACCGCAUGGUUCAAUAGUGAAAGACGGUUUUGCUGUCACUUAUAGAUGGAUCCGCGCCGCAUUAGCUAGUUGGUAAGGUAACGGCUUACCAAGGCGACGAUGCGUAGCCGACCUAAGAGGGUGAUCGGCCACACUGGAACUGAGACACGGUCCAGAACCCUACGGGAGGCAGCAGUAGGGAAUCUUCCGCAAUGGGCGAAAGCCUGACGGAGCAACGCCGCGUGAGUGAUGAAGGUCUUCGGAUCGUAAAACUCUGUUAUUAGGGAAGAACAAAUGUGUAAGUAACUAUGCACGUCUGGACGGUACCUAAGCAGAAAGCCACGGCUAACUACGU
rnacentral:rRNA from 1 species